rnacentral:tRNA from 1 species
UGUGGGGUGGUGUAGUUUGUGCACAAAGGUUUUUGGUUCCUUUGGAAGGAGGGUAGCAGCUCCUCCCUGCAG